rnacentral:rRNA from 1 species
CCUACGGGAGGCAGCAGUGAGGAAUAUUGGUCAAUGGGCGCGCGCCUGAACCAGCCAAGUCGCGUGAGGGAAGACGGUCCUAUGGAUUGUAAACCUCUUUUGUCGGGGAGCAAAAGACGCCACGCGUGGCGUUCCGAGAGUACCCGAAGAAAAAGCAUCGGCUAACUCCGUGCCAGCAGCCGCGGUAAUACGGAGGAUGCGAGCGUUAUCCGGAUUUAUUGGGUUUAAAGGGUGCGCAGGCGGAAGAUCAAGACAGCGGUAAAAUUGAGAGGCUCAACCUCUUCGAGCCGUUGAAACUGGUUUUCGUGAGUGAGUGAGAAGUAUGCUGAAUGCGUGGUGUAGCGGUGAAAUGCAUAGAUAUCACGCAGAACUCCGAUUGCGAAGGCAGCAUACCGGCGCUCAACUGACGCUCAUGCACGAAAGUGUGGGUAUCGAACAGGAUUAGAUACCCGUGUAGUC